rnacentral:rRNA from 1 species
AGCGGGGGAAGGUAGCUUGCUACCGGACCUAGCGGCGGACGGGUGAGUAAUGCUUAGGAAUCUGCCUAUUAGUGGGGGACAACAUCUCGAAAGGGAUGCUAAUACCGCAUACGUCCUACGGGAGAAAGCAGGGGAUCUUCGGACCUUGCGCUAAUAGAUGAGCCUAAGUCGGAUUAGCUAGUUGGUGGGGUAAAGGCCUACCAAGGCGACGAUCUGUAGCGGGUCUGAGAGGAUGAUCCGCCACACUGGGACUGAGACACGGCCCAGACUCCUACGGGAGGCAGCAGUGGGGAAUAUUGGACAAUGGGGGGAACCCUGAUCCAGCCAUGCCGCGUGUGUGAAGAAGGCCUUAUGGUUGUAAAGCACUUUAAGCGAGGAGGAGGCUACUUUAGUUAAUACCUAGAGAUAGUGGACGUUACUCGCAGAAUAAGCACCGGCUAACUCUGUGCCAGCAGCCGCGGUAAUACAGAGGGUGCGAGCGUUAAUCGGAUUUACUGGGCGUAAAGCGUGCGUAGGCGGCUUAUUAAGUCGGAUGUGAAAUCCCCGAGCUUAACUUGGGAAUUGCAUUCGAUACUGGUGAGCUAGAGUAUGGGAGAGGAUGGUAGAAUUCCAGGUGUAGCGGUGAAAUGCGUAGAGAUCUGGAGGAAUACCGAUGGCGAAGGCAGCCAUCUGGCCUAAUACUGACGCUGAGGUACGAAAGCAUGGGGAGCAAACAGGAUUAGAUACCCUGGUAGUCCAUGCCGUAAACGAUGUCUACUAGCCGUUGGGGCCUUUGAGGCGUUAGUGGCGCAGCUAACGCGAUAAGUAGCCGCCUGGGGAGUACGGUCGCAAGACUAAAACUCGGGUGAAUUUUCCAGGCGCGCGGGAGACCCGCUCCACCAUGUGGUUUUGUUUCUAUGUUUCGCCAAAGAAGCGUAACAGCCCCCUGUUGUACGAGAACCGUUUCCGUACAUUAAAUAAUGGGGUUCGCUCACCGAAAGGAAAGUUGCUUCCUAGUUGUUGGUAGACAAAAGGCCGCCCCCCGCCCGGGUGGGUGGGGGGUUACCAACAGCGGGGGGGGGGUUUUACUUUAUUGCCGGCGGCGGGGGUGGAUUUGGAACCGCCCCUU